AGCACCCUUUGGGUGUGACUGCGUACCUUUUGUAUAAUGGGUCAGCGACUUAUAUUCUGUAGCAAGGUUAACCGAAUAGGGGAGCCGGAGGGAAACCGAGUCUUAACCGGGCGUUAAGUUGCAGGGUAUAGACCCGAAACCCGGUGAUCUAGCCAUGGGCAGGUUGAAGGUUGGGUAACACUAACUGGAGGACCGAACCGACUAAUGUUGAAAAAUUAGCGGAUGACCUGUGGCUGGGGGUGAAAGGCCAAUCAAACCGGGAGAUAGCUGGUUCUCCCCGAAAGCUAUUUAGGUAGCGCCUCGUGAAUUCAUCUCCGGGGGUAGAGCACUGUUUCGGCUAGGGGGCCAUCCCGGCUUACCAACCCGAUGCAAACUGCGAAUACCGGAGAAUGUUAUCACGGGAGACACACGGCGGGUGCUAACGUCCGUCGUGAAGAGGGAAACAACCCAGACCGCCAGCUAAGGUCCCAAAGUCAUGGUUAAGUGGGAAACGAUGUGGGAAGGCCCAGACAGCCAGGAUGUUGGCUUAGAAGCAGCCAUCAUUUAAAGAAAGCGUAAUAGCUCACUGGUCGAGUCGGCCUGCGCGGAAGAUGUAACGGGGCUAAACCAUGCACCGAAGCUGCGGCAGCGACACUGUGUGUUGUUGGGUAGGGGAGCGUUCUGUAAGCCUGUGAAGGUGUGUCGUGAGGCAUGCUGGAGGUAUCAGAAGUGCGAAUGCUGACAUAAGUAACGAUAAAGCGGGUGAAAAGCCCGCUCGCCGGAAGACCAAGGGUUCCUGUCCAACGUUAAUCGGGGCAGGGUGAGUCGACCCCUAAGGCGAGGCCGAAAGGCGUAGUCGAUGGGAAACGGGUUAAUAUUCCCGUACUUGGUGUUACUGCGAAGGGGGGACGGAGAAGGCUAUGUUGGCCGGGCGACGGUUGUCCCGGUUUAAGCGUGUAGGUGUGUGUUCCAGGUAAAUCCGGUUCACUUUAACACUGAGGCGUGACGACGAGGCACUACGGUGCUGAAGCAACAAAUGCCCUGCUUCCAGGAAAAGCCUCUAAGCAUCAGGUAACAUCAAAUCGUACCCCAAACCGACACAGGUGGUCAGGUAGAGAAUACCAAGGCGCUUGAGAGAACUCGGGUGAAGGAACUAGGCAAAAUGGUGCCGUAACUUCGGGAGAAGGCACGCUGACACGUAGGUGAAGUGAUUUACUCAUGGAGCUGAAGUCAGUCGAAGAUACCAGCUGGCUGCAACUGUUUAUUAAAAACACAGCACUGUGCAAACACGAAAGUGGACGUAUACGGUGUGACGCCUGCCCGGUGCCGGAAGGUUAAUUGAUGGGGUCAGCGCAAGCGAAGCUCCUGAUCGAAGCCCCGGUAAACGGCGGCCGUAACUAUAACGGUCCUAAGGUAGCGAAAUUCCUUGUCGGGUAAGUUCCGACCUGCACGAAUGGCGUAAUGAUGGCCAGGCUGUCUCCACCCGAGACUCAGUGAAAUUGAACUCGCUGUGAAGAUGCAGUGUACCCGCGGCAAGACGGAAAGACCCCGUGAACCUUUACUAUAGCUUGACACUGAACAUUGAGCCUUGAUGUGUAGGAUAGGUGGGAGGCUUUGAAGUGUGGACGCCAGUCUGCAUGGAGCCGACCUUGAAAUACCACCCUUUAAUGUUUGAUGUUCUAACGUGGACCCGUUACCCGGGUUGCGGACAGUGUCUGGUGGGUAGUUUGACUGGGGCGGUCUCCUCCUAAAGAGUAACGGAGGAGCACGAAGGUUGGCUAAUCCUGGUCGGACAUCAGGAGGUUAGUGCAAUGGCAUAAGCCAGCUUGACUGCGAGCGUGACGGCGCGAGCAGGUGCGAAAGCAGGUCAUAGUGAUCCGGUGGUUCUGAAUGGAAGGGCCAUCGCUCAACGGAUAAAAGGUACUCCGGGGAUAACAGGCUGAUACCGCCCAAGAGUUCAUAUCGACGGCGGUGUUUGGCACCUCGAUGUCGGCUCAUCACAUCCUGGGGCUGAAGUAGGUCCCAAGGGUAUGGCUGUUCGCCAUUUAAAGUGGUACGCGAGCUGGGUUUAGAACGUCGUGAGACAGUUCGGUCCCUAUCUGCCGUGGGCGCUGGAGAACUGAGGGGGGCUGCUCCUAGUACGAGAGGACCGGAGUGGACGCAUCACUGGUGUUCGGGUUGUCAUGCCAAUGGCACUGCCCGGUAGCUAAAUGCGGAAGAGAUAAGUGCUGAAAGCAUCUAAGCACGAAACUUGCCCCGAGAUGAGUUCUCCCUGAGACUUAGAGUCUCCUGAAGGAACGUUGAAGACGACGACGUUGAUAGGCCGGGUGUGUAAGCGCAGCGAUGCGUUGAGCUAACCGGUACUAAUGAACCGUGAGGCUUAACCUUACAACGCCGAAG
rnacentral:rRNA from 1 species